rnacentral:rRNA from 1 species
AACGAACGCUGGCGGCAGGCUUAACACAUGCAAGUCGAGCGCCCCGCAAGGGGAGCGGCAGACGGGUGAGUAACGCGUGGGAAUCUACCGUGCCCUACGGAAUAACGCAUGGAAACGUGUGCUAAUACCGUAUACGCCCUACGGGGGAAAGAUUUAUCGGGGUAUGAUGAGCCCGCGUUGGAUUAGCUAGUUGGUGGGGUAAAGGCCUACCAAGGCGACGAUCCAUAGCUGGUCUGAGAGGAUGAUCAGCCACAUUGGGACUGAGACACGGCCCAAACUCCUACGGGAGGCAGCAGUGGGGAAUAUUGGACAAUGGGCGCAAGCCUGAUCCAGCCAUGCCGCGUGAGUGAUGAAGGUCUUAGGAUUGUAAAGCUCUUUCACCGGUGAAGAUAAUGACGGUAACCGGAGAAGAAGCCCCGGCUAACUUCGUGCCAGCCGCCGCAGUAAAAC